rnacentral:rRNA from 1 species
UACGAAGGGGGCUAGCGUUGUUCGGAAUCACUGGGCGUAAAGCGCACGUAGGCGGAUCUUUAAGUCAGGGGUGAAAUCCCGAGGCUCAACCUCGGAACUGCCUUUGAUACUGGGGAUCUCGAGUCCGGGAGAGGUGAGUGGAACUGCGAGUGUAGAGGUGAAAUUCGUAGAUAUUCGCAAGAACACCAGUGGCGAAGGCGGCUCACUGGCCCGGAACUGACGCUGAGGUGCGAAAGCGUGGGAGCAACAGG